GGCGCCAUGGCUUAGUGGUAAAGCGCCUGUCUAGUAAACAGGAGAUCCUGGGUUCG
rnacentral:tRNA from 1 species